CAGUCUGAAACCAUCUGAGCAGAGUCUCUCUUCAGUCCCCGGGAAGACAAGCAAAUACAAAGGUAAGGCUUAGCUUUCAUUUUACAGAGUUCUGCUUGCUGGAGAAACCACAAAAUCGGGUAAGAACUUCUUGCUUGGUUUGCCUGGGGCUUCUUAAGGAAGUGCUGUUGACUGCUGAAUUCAACUACAGGAUUUACGGUUUGUUGCAAAUACCAUGUCUUAGCUAAUCCUGCUGCAAAAUUAGACUGUGUGCUUAUCUUUUAGACGUUACAAAAUCAUAAAGUUUUGCCUUUCUUAACUAAGAAAUGCAUGUCUGAAAGUCUGGCAAGUUUACUGUCCUGCUGAUGAGUUACUAAAGGAGCAAAGAGAAAGUGUGCUCUGGCAAGCUAAGAGUGAGGAUUUUCUUUCCUCCUCUUUGGAAAAGUUUUCCAAAGAGCUGUGAGUUUUGUGUGGGUCCAGAGCUGGAGUGGGAAGGCAAGUGGGGGUCCCACAGAAACCACAAAUGGAAAACUCUCAAGAACUGUUCCAAAAUGGAAGGCUUUCACAGCUAAAAAUAUUUUUCUUUAAUAAAACCAAAUGAAUCCCAGGCUCCGAGUGGUCCUUUUUAAUUAGCGUUUUGAAUCAAUGUUAUGUUUACUCACUUUAAGAUGGUCCGCUUAUUACUUGUCUCAUUUAAGCAGGGAGUGGCCACCUCCCCUCCCUAUAAUCUCUGUGUCAUAGACAGGCUUUUCUGGUGCUCAUUUGAAAACCUAAGGGGAAAGCAGAUUUUUCCAGGGUGAGGUCAGAGAAGUCAUCCCACGGAAUGCCGCAGGGGCCCUACAGAAACUCUUCUGCCUAGCGACGGUCUUGGUGUAGCAUAAGAUAAGGAGAUAAAUUUCCUAGGAAAGCAAAACAAAACAAAAAUAAAGCUGUACAAUAUUGAAUCAAAUUGCAAAAGUGAGAGCAUAUGAUUCCUAACUACACACUUGGCUUAUUACAGAUGUGCCUUCAAGGACCUUUUCCUUAGCUCACUUAAAACUGUUAAUGAAAUGUCUUAUCUCCUAAUUUUAUGGGUGUCCAUUAAAAAUGUGCUUCCUCUUGCCACGGUGCCUCGGUAGUAUGACUCCUGAGAAAUCAAUGUCCCUAACACUGAGCAGGUACUGUGCUUUGCUCGCUGCAGCUCAGUCCUGUUUCAGCUGAUUCAUAUGUUGUAAAAUGUUGGUUUCCUGCUUCUGAAAUGGCUUCUUCCACAUUUCAGAAGUUAUGUGGUUACCAGAGCCCAGAGACACACCUAUACCUCCUAGUUCCCUGAUAGGAGACCGCUGCUCUUGAGACUAUAGCAACACUCAUAAGGAGCCAGCUAAAGUCAGAUGCUUGUUAAAUACUUUCUCAAUCAAAAACUUCUGCAACGUUGAUGCCUGAACAACGUUGGACAGGCUGGACAGGCUCACUUAUUUCCCUCUAGACCUAUUAAAUUGUUACAUAUUUAAAGUCAGAGCAAAAGACACAAAUAAAAACUACUGGAUCCUUAGGGAUGAACCAUGAACAAUUCUCAAAGUUUAAUAUUUCUUUUUCCUUUAAUCUUAUACUCAUUUAUCAGAAUGAUCAAGCAUCCAAUCUGUCUAAUACCUUUCUCUUUAGGUUAAUCCCUCUUUGGACUCAAGGUGAAAUGUAAGCUAAGUGAUUGGGAUCUAUAGCUAUAGCUAUAUUUAUUUUAACAUUCUCAUUUUACAUAUUAAAUUAACAUUACAUUUUACCUGAAGAAUUUUCAUGUUUUUUUUGUGUGUGUGUGUGAAGUCAAAUUUCCAGUUAAAGAAAAAAAGAAACAAACAAACAAAAAGGCCCACAGCACCACGAUAUGAUUUUUCUAUUUAAAAUACUAUCAUUAUGGGUCAAAUUUGUUGGUUAAAUCUGUGUAGCUGUUUCCCUAGUGCUGUUUGUUUAUUUAAUAAGAUUUAUUUAUUUAUUUAGUAAUAAUUCUUAAUGCUUAUGGAUAUCCAGAAUUCCAGGUACUUCAUGAGGUACUGCAGAUUCCAAGCAAAUGGUCCGUGUCUUCGGGGAAGACUGCUGGAGGGUUAGAUGCCAGCAUGAAGACUUAAUGCAUAGUGGCAUGAGGCUAUUGGAUGGGCAGAAACAAGAUGCUUUCAAAGGUCCCCCAGUGCAGAGCUGAGUCCCAGUGAAACCAUCAUGGAGCCUUAGCUGAGCCUUCAUCAAGCAGCAGUGAGUCAGGCAAAAGACAGAGGAGUAGAUGAGGUCAGAGCAUUCCAGGCCACAGAAACUCCCUGGUCAGAAGCCCGAAGCCAAAUAACCAGGUGCUAUCUUUGGCUAAAUGGCGUUUUAAGCGUGAUGUCAUUGUAUAGACUAAUUACCUCUCAUGUGGCCAUUGAAGAGUCUAAUUAUCUUCUCCACGUGGGUAGUUGUGGGAAGGGCUUACAAAGCACGUAUUCAAGGAAGAAUUGUACACAAAGC
rnacentral:lncRNA from 1 species